GGGUUGUAAACUUCUUUUAUAUUAGAAUAAAGUGCAGUAUGUAUACUGUUUUGUAUGUAUAAUAUGAAUAAGGAUCGGCUAACUCCGUGCCAGCAGCCGCGGUAAUACGGAGGAUCCGAGCGUUAUCCGGAUUUAUUGGGUUUAAAGGGAGCGUAGGUGGGCUGGUAAGUCAGUUGUGAAAGUUUGCGGCUCCACCGUAAAAUUGCAGUUGAUACUGUCAGUCUUGAGUACAGUAGAGGUGGGCGGAAUUCGUGGUGUAGCGGUGAAAUGCUUAGAUAUCACGAAGAACUCCGAUUGCGAAGGCAGCUCACUGGACUGCAACUGACACUGAUGCUCGAAAGUGUGGGUAUCAAACAGGAUUAGAUACCCUGGUAGUCCACACAGUAAA
rnacentral:rRNA from 1 species